GUACGGGAGGCAGCAGUAGGGAAUAUUGGUCAACGGACGCAAGUCUGAACCAGCCACGCCGCGUGCAGGAAGAAGGUUCUUUGGAUCGUAAACUGCUUUUAUCAAGGGAUAAAGAGAGGCUAUACGCCUAAAUGAAGGUACUUGAUGAAUAAGCCACGGCUAACUACGUGCCAGCAGCCGCGGUAAUACGUAGGUGGCAAGCGUUGUCCGGAUUUACUGGGUUUAAAGGGUGCGUAGGCGGUUUAAUAAGUCAGUCGUUAAAGACACAAGCUUAACUUGGGCGUGGCGAUUGAUACUGUUAGACUUGAAUAAUUUGGAGGUAGCUGGAAUGCGUAGUGUAGCGGUGAAAUGCUCAGAUAUUACGCAGAACACCGAUUGCAGAGGCAGGUUACUACGAAUUUAUUGACGCUGAGGCACGAAAGUGUGGGUAGCAAACAGGAUUAGAUACCCUGGUAGU
rnacentral:rRNA from 1 species